UCGAACGCAGUAGCAAUACUGAGUGGCAAACGGGUGAGUAUAAUGUGGGAAUCUGCCUUUUGGCCUGGAAUAACACGAGGAAACUUGUGCUAAUACCGGAUAAGUCUUUACGGAGAAAGCUUUAUGCACCAUUGGAUGAGCCCGCACUUGAUUAGUUUGUUGGUAGGGUAAUGGCCUACCAAGACUACAAUCAAUAGCUGAUUUGAGAGGAUGAUCAGCCACACUGGGACUGAGAUACGGCCCAGACUCC
rnacentral:rRNA from 1 species